rnacentral:rRNA from 2 species
UACGUAGGUGGCAAGCGUUAUCCGGAAUUAUUGGGCGUAAAGGGUGCGUAGGCGGUUUAUUAAGUCUAUGGUGAAAGUGCGGGGCUCAACCCCGUAUGGCCAUAGAAACUGAUAGACUAGAGUGCAGGAGAGGGCAAUGGAAUUCCAUGUGUAGCGGUAAAAUGCGUAGAUAUAUGGAGGAACACCAGUGGCGAAGGCGGUUGCCUGGCCUGUAACUGACGCUGAAGCACGAAAGCGUGGGGAGCAAAUAGG